AAUUGCAGUUCUAAAACAAAACGCAACGCAGCUGCAAUGUGACACCACUAAAUCAGGAAGUGACAAUGUGGUCAAGUGGUACUGUUAUGUGCAUAAUUUCCUUUUACAGGCGAUUUUGUCCAAAUUCAUAACAGGCAAAGCAUACAAAAAAUAAAAAAGGCUCAUAAUUACACAAAAAUGGAAUUCAUGAUCAGAUAACUAAUAAAAUCCAGAAAAAUAAAAUAAAAUAAAAAGCACUUCCCAACCCGGUGCCUAAUCUCCAUUUCCAAGCAACAAAAGCAACCAGAGUUACAGAAAUGAAGCAGGUUAUUUAUAUAAAAGAAAACAGAAAGAGAGAGGGAGUUUACCACUGCCGAGAAAAGCGAAUCUGC
rnacentral:misc_RNA from 1 species